GGAUGUGCCGAAACUUGAGGAAUAUCUUAAGCUUCAUCACAAGGAGUUCAGGGAUGUUUAUUGUUCUCCAGUAGAACAGGUUGUGCACCCGAUUCAUGAUCAAACAUUCUACUUGACGAAGCAUCAUAAGAGAAAGCUGAAAGAGGAAUUUGGCAUAGAGCCUUGGAGUUUUGUUCAGAAAGUUGGAGAGGCAGUCCUUAUACCGGCUGGAUGUCCCCAUCAAGUGAGAAAUCUGAAGUCAUGUAUAAAAGUUGCACUUGACUUU